CACCACUUGUUCUACUAUUUAAUACUUAAUAUUUAAUACACAAAACCACGAGGUAGUGGAUGGAAAGAAACAGUGUGGGUGUUUUCCACGCAGAAACAGACAAACAGGCACGACGAGGUGUCUGCGCGUUGUCACCAGAUAAAACAUGGACUUUUAUAGGACAAGACAAACCGACUGUGCGCCAUCAGGACAAAAAGACACACGGGAAUCUGGAUAGGUGGUGGGGGGCGAUAAUUAAAAAGACGUGGCUCGUAACUGCAAUCGGCCAUUCAACGUGAUUCGCAGAGCACACCACGAGGUCUCCGGUUAGUGUUUUCAAACUGAAAAAAACUUGUCAGCGAAAAUCUGCCACGGACUUCUUCUAAACGACCAAAGUAGCCUCUGAUGUGUGUUUUUGGAAGCAGCCCUGUAUUUUGUAGGAGCUUAUUUCCCUGACAUCUAACGACAAUUCUUGAAUUAAAACUACACAACCUUUGAAAGCUUUUAACGUUAUAGAAAAAGAGGACACACCGGAAGAACGUAUCGCGCCGCAUUCAGGCGGGGCAAACCGCCUCAGUCAAGGAUGUGAUGACAGAUGCAAACUGACCUAAAUCUGGGUAGUGCUUUGCGUGUUAGCAGCCUGACACUGGCAAUACAAAACAGCCCCAACCACACCCUUAUCAAGACGGUUGCUGAGGAUUUAGGAACCUUUCACAGGAUGGGUAAAGACUGAAUAUUCAUAGACCAGACCUUCAGGGACCCAGUUUGUAUCUGCGGAUGAUCUUGGGGACUGUCCGGUAGAUGAGGUUUGAUUAUUUUCCUGUCUGUCGAGUAACAAUAGGACUGUUGUUCCUGCCUUUUUCCAACCACAUAUGGGAUCUAUACCUUACGUCACUUCUUACUUGAACCAGUUUGUCAAUAAUCUGUAUACUUAAAGAUAUUUCAUAGAUUCUACUCCAACAAGCAUUAGGCUACAUGAAGAGGUUUAAAAAUUGUAUUGAUCCCAACUGCACCUUCUGUGAGACUCAUACGGCAGUGUGUUAAUGUUAAACAAUUUAGGCACGUUUGUAAAUUUCUAAAUGAUGGUAUUUAUUCAGGUUCCAGCUUCUUUUGGCAGAAUGUCAUUUUGGUGGUUUUAAUGAAAAACAACACUGUCACCAUUAUUUCCUUAUGCUCCUUUGGCUACAUUUCAUAUACACAAAUGUAAAUUUACGAACAAAAAACACUAUUUAUAAUCCUUGAGAAAUUAAUGUAGCUAUUUUUUUUUAACAUGCCGUUUCUCCUCCAACAUUAAAGGCUCAGAAGAUAUUUAAUAUCUGUACUUGUUUGAAGGUCUUUCUGUGAUGUAUCAUUGCCUCCCACUUCUUGUUUUUGUUUUUUUACCCUCUUGCUUUAUGUACGUUUAUAUCUCUUAUGUGUUGGAUGGAUCUUUUUCAAUGUUAUUGUUAUGAUUCUUGAUAUGUUCUACUGAUAAUACUUUUUAAUUAAUAAAGAUGAGGGGGGAAAGAGGUUGUGUAUAGUUUUUAGAGGGCUGAACAAAUAAAGCUUCAGACAACCAGACCUUAUUCUGCAUCAGUUAACUUUAGCUCAUUUUGGAUGCUUAAUGUGUUUGUUUUGAUUGCUUUAGGAUCAAUACUACCUGAGAGUAGGGCCUAUUGUUUUAUAGGGAAUGCUCAGUGAGACAUAUUGCAUGAUAUUGGGCUUUACAAAGAAACUGACAUAUGCUUGAGUGGAACAUUUUGACUGAGGUGGAAUGGUAAAAUAAACAACCAUCAGAUAUAAGUAAAUACUUACAAGAUAUAGGUUAACAAAGCAAAGGUGACAGUUUGAGACUGUUAAUCAUUUACAGUUAGACCAGCUUUGAAACUUGGUCUGAGGUGGCGCUGUUACUGGUCAUGUCUAAGUUAGUGUAGUACACUUUAACACCACAUGGAGGUGUUCAGGGAUUUAAAAAUAAUUUUCAGCAGUACUGCACUGAGACUGAGCAUUAAUUAUAAUAUUAAAUCAAGAUUCUAACUGA